AAGAGCUCAGAUUUGAAGUCGUGCUUUGCGGCACGAGUUGUAGAUUGCAGGUUGGAGUCUGUGUGGAAGGCGGUGUCCAAGUCCCUUGGAACAGGGCGCCCAGGAGGGUGAGAGCCCCGUGGGAUGCCGGCGGAAGCAGUGAGGCCCUUCUGACGAGUCGAGUUGUUUGGGAAUGCAGCUCCAAGCGGGUGGUAAAUUCCAUCUAAGGCUAAAUACUGGCGAGAGACCGAUAGCGAACAAGUACUGUGAAGGAAAGAUGAAAAGCACUUUGAAAAGAGAGUGAAACAGCACGUGAAAUUGUUGAAAGGGAAGGGUAUUGCGCCCGACAUGGGGAUUGCGCACCGCUGCCUCUCGUGGGCGGCGCUCUGGGCUUUCCCUGGGCCAGCAUCGGUUCUUGCUGCAGGAGAAGGGGUUCUGGAACGUGGCUCUUCGGAGUGUUAUAGCCAGGGCCAGAUGCUGCGUGCGGGGACCGAGGACUGCGGCCGUGUAGGUCACGGAUGCUGGCAGAACGGCGCAACACCGCCCGUCUUGAAACACGGACC
rnacentral:rRNA from 1 species